rnacentral:tRNA from 1 species
AGGCGGUUAGUUCAGUUGGUAGAACACACCAAACUCCAAACUUAAGGAGAGGUCAAAGUCCGUGGUUCGAAUCCACGACCGCCUA